rnacentral:rRNA from 1 species
AUUGAACGCUAGCGGGAUGCUUUACACAUGCAAGUCGAACGAGUGGCGGACGGGUGAGUAAUAUAUCGGAACGUGCCCAGUAGCGGGGGAUAACUACUCGCAAGAGUGGCUAAUACAGCAUACUAUUGGAGCGGCCGAUAUCGGAUUAGCUAGUUGGUGGGGUAAAGGCUAACCAAGGCAACGUGCCGUAGCUGGUUUGAGAGGACGACCAGCCACACUGGGACGUAUACACGGCCCAGAUUCCUACGUGAGGUAGCAGUGGGGAAUUUGGGACAAUGGGGGAAACCCUGAUCCAGCCAUCCCGCGUGUAGGAGAGGGCCUUCGGGUUGUAAAGUACUUUUGGCAGAGAAGCGGUAUCUGCAGAAUAAGCACCGGCUAACUACGUGCCAGCAGCCGCGGGAAUAC